CGAAAGCCUGACGGAGCAACGCCGCGUGAGGGACGAAGGCCUCUGGGCUGUAAACCUCUUUUCUCAAGGAAGAAGACCUGACGGUACUUGAGGAAUAAGCCACGGCUAAUUCCGUGCCAGCAGCCGCGGUAAUACGGGAGUGGCAAGCGUUAUCCGGAAUUAUUGGGCGUAAAGCGUCCGCAGGCGGCCGAUCAAGUCUGCUGUUAAAGCGUGGAGCUUAACUCCAUAAUGGCAGUGGAAACUGAUUGGCUGGAGUGUGGUAGGGGCAGAGGGAAUUCCCGGUGUAGCGGUGAAAUGCGUAGAUAUCGGGAAGAACACCAGUGGCGAAGGCGCUCUGCUGGGCCAUAACUGACGCUCAUGGACGAAAGCCAGGGGAGCG
rnacentral:rRNA from 1 species